rnacentral:rRNA from 1 species
GAUGAACGCUGGCGGCGUGCCUAAUACAUGCAAGUCGAGCGAACGGACGAGAAGCUUGUUUCUCUGAUGUUUGCGGCGCGCGUGUGAGUAACACGUGUAUAAUCCCCCUAUAAGACUGGUAUAACUUCGGAAAACCGGAGCUUAUCCCGUAUGAUAUUUUGAUCCGUGUGGUUCAAUAGUGAAAGACGGUUUUGCCGUUACUAAUAGAUGGAUCCUGGCUUUAUUAGCUAGUUGGUAGGGUAACGGCUAACCAAGGCAACGGUUCAUAGCCGACCGGAGAGGGUGAUGGCCACACUUGGAACUGGAAACCGGUCAGGAUCCCAACGGAAGGAGGCAGUAGGGAAUUUUCGGCAAUGGGGGAAGGCCGGACGGGGCAACGCCGCGUGAGUGAGGAAGGUCUCCGGAUCUUAAACCUCUGUGAUUGGGGAAAAACAGAUGUGGAAGUAAAUGUGCACAUCUUGACGGUACCUAAUCAGAAAGCCACGGCUAACUACGUG